rnacentral:rRNA from 1 species
AUACGGAGGGUGCAAGCGUUAUUCGGAAUCACUGGGCGUAAAGGACGCGUAGGCGGGUUGGCAAGUCAGAUGUGAAAUCCUACAGCUUAACUGUAGAACUGCAUUUGAAACUGCUAACCUAGAGUAUGGGAGGGGGAGGUGGAAUUAGUGGUGUAGGGGUAAAAUCCGUAGAUAUCACUAGGAAUACCGAAAGCGAAGGCGAUCUCCUGGAACAUAACUGACGCUAAGGCGUGAAAGCGUGGGGAGCAAACAGGAUUAGAAACCCCAGUAGUCC